GCCAGGUGUGGUGGUGGGCACCUGUAAUCCCAGCUACUCGGGAGGCUGAGGCAGGAGAAUUGCUUGAACCCAGGAGGUGGAGUGUGCAGUGAGCCGAGGUCGUGCCACUGUACUCCAGCCUGGGUGACACAGCAAGACCCUGUCUCGG
ensembl:misc_RNA Metazoa_SRP Metazoan signal recognition particle RNA